rnacentral:rRNA from 1 species
UUGGCCUCAAAUCAGAUAGGA